AACCUUUACACUGCACGCCAGUGCGAUAAGGGGACUCCAAGUGCGAGGGCAUAUAGUCCUCGCUUUUCUGGACCGUAAGGUGGUCCAGGAACAAGUGCUGGGCAAGACCGGUGCCAGCCGCCGCGGUAAUACCGGCAGCACGAGUGAUGGCCGCUCUUAUUGGGCCUAAAGCGUCCGUAGCUGGCCGAUCAAGUCCGUCGGGAAAUCCGCACGCCUAACGUGCGGGCGUCCGGUGGAAACUGAUCGGCUUGGGACCGGAAGACCAGAGGGGUACGUCCGGGGUAGGAGUGAAAUCCCGUAAUCCUGGACGGACCACCGGUGGCGAAAGCGCCUCUGGAAGACGGAUCCGACGGUGAGGGACGAAAGCUCGGGUCACGAACCGGAUUAGAUACCCGGGUAGUCCGAGCUGUAAACGAUGUCUGCUAGGUGUGACACAGGCUACGAGCCUGUGUUGUGCCGUAGGGAAGCCGUGAAGCAGACCGCCUGGGAAGUACGUCCGCAAGGAUGAAACUUAA
rnacentral:rRNA from 1 species